AUACGGCAGGUCCGGGCGUUAUCCGGAUUUAUUGGGUUUAAAGGGAGCGCAGGCGGAGAUGCAAGCGUGACGUCAAAUUUCGGGGCUCAACCCCGUCUCGCGUCGCGAACUGCGUCCCUUGGUUGCGGGAAGGGGAGGCGGAACUCGUGGGGUAGCGGUGAAAUGCAUAGAUAUCACGAAGAACUCCGAUCGCGAAGGCAGCCUUCCGGCCCGUCAACGACGCUCAUGCUCGAAGGUGCGGGUAUCAAACAGGAUUAGAUACCCUGGUAGUCCGCACAGUAAACGAUGGACACCCGCGGUUUGGCCUAUAUGGCUGAGCCGCCAAGCGAAAGCGUUAAGUGUCCCACCUGGGGAGUACGCCGGCAACGGUGAAACUCAAAUGAAUUGACGGGG
rnacentral:rRNA from 1 species